rnacentral:misc_RNA from 1 species
GCUGCGCCAGAAUAUGGUCUAGGAACACAAGUAUCAAUAGAAGGGGAUAUCUACAGUUAUGGGAUUGUAGUGUUGGAGAUGAUAACAGGGAAGAGACCAACCGACAAUAUGUUUGAGAGUGGUCUUAAUCUUCAUAAGUUUGCUAGAAAAUCCCUUCCUGACAAUGUUAUGGAGAUUGUCGACCCAAUGCUUCUCAGAGAUGAUAUGGAAAUCAUGAACAAGAGACAAUCAAUAAACACUGGCAAUAGAAUGGAGAAGUGUCUAAUUUCCAUGGUUGAAAUCGCAUUGGCAUGUUCUAUGGAGUCAUCAAGAGAUCGAAUGGACAUGAGUAAGGUUGUCCAUGAACUGCACAAGGUUAGGGAUGUUCUUCAAGAAAGUACAGCUAAGCCCCACAUCUUCAGGCAUACAGAUAAAUAAGCCUGCAUAAGAAACAGAGUAAACAAGAACAGGGUACUAUGCGGAUUUGUUUAGCUAGAAGUUAACAGUUCCCCCUGGGUCAGUACUGUACAUGUGAUGUUGUUCAAGUGUAGCGUUCAUCUUCUUGCAGCUGGUGCCUUAAGAUCUUCUGGCAUUCUGCAUUGUGGAUACCCACUUGUGGCCU